UUUAGCAUGGCCCCUGUGCAAGGAUGAUUGCAAAUUCGUGAAGCAUUGCAUAUUUUU
rnacentral:snRNA from 1 species